AUUGAACGCUGGCGGAAUGCUUUACACAUGCAAGUCGAACGGUAGAGGGGGCAACCCCUCGAGAGUGGCGAACGGGUGAGUAAUAUAUCGGAACGUGCCCAGUCGUGGGGGAUAACGUAGCGAAAGUUACGCUAAUACCGCAUACGAUCUAAGGGUGAAAGCGGGGGAUCGCAAGACCUCGCGCGAUUGGAGCGGCCGAUAUCAGAUUAGGUAGUUGGUGGGGUAAAGGCUCACCAAGCCAACGAUCUGUAGCUGGUCUGAGAGGACGACCAGCCACACUGGAACUGAGACACGGUCCAGACUCCGACGGGAGGCAGCAGUGGGGAAUUUUGGACAAUGGACGCAAGUCUGAUCCAGCCAUUCCGCGUGCAGGAUGAAGGCCCUCGGGUUGUAAACUGCUUUUGUACGGAACGAAAAGGUCUCUCUUAAUACGGGGGGCUCAUGACGGUACCGUAAGAAUAAGCACCGGCUAACUACGUGCCAGCAGCCGCCGUAA
rnacentral:rRNA from 1 species